GAUGAACGCUAGCGGCAGGCCUAACACAUGCAAGUCGAGGGGUAGAGGAAGCUUGCUUCCUUGAGACCGGCGCACGGGUGCGUAACGCGUAUGCAAUCUACCUUUUACAGAGGGAUAGCCCAGAGAAAUUUGGAUUAAUACCUCAUAGUAUCUUUGCCUGGCAUCGGGUGAUUAUUAAAGUUCCAACGGUAAAAGAUGAGCAUGCGUCCUAUUAGCGAGAUGGUAAGGUAACGGCUUACCAUGGCAACGAUAGGUAGGGGUCCUGAGAGGGAGAUCCCCCACACUGGUACUGAGACACGGACCAGACUCCUACGGGAGGCAGCAGUGAGGAAUAUUGGACAAUGGGCGCAAGCCUGAUCCAGCCAUGCCGCGUGCAGGAAGACGGUCCUAUGGAUUGUAAACUGCUUUUGUACGGGAAGAAACACUCAUACGUGUAGGAGCUUGACGGUACCGUAAGAAUAAGGGUCGGCUAACUCCGUGCCAGCCGCCGCCGUAACAC
rnacentral:rRNA from 1 species